CCCCUAGAUGUUCUGGGCCGCACGCGCGCUACACUGAACUGUUCAACAAGUCUUAACCUUGGCCGAUAGGUCUGGGUAAUCUUUGAACGCUGUUCGUGAUUGGGAUAGACCUUUGCAAUUAUGGGUCUUCAACGAGGAAUUCCUAGUAAACGCAAGUCAUCAGCUUGCAUUGAUUACGUCCCUGCCCUUUGUACACACCGCCCGUCGCACCUACCGAUUGAAUGGUCCGGUGAAAUCUCGGGACGGCGGCUUGGUCGCUUGCGUCCGACUGCUGAAACUUGAUUAAACCAUAUCAUUUAGAGGAAGGUGAAGUCGUAACA
rnacentral:rRNA from 1 species